rnacentral:rRNA from 1 species
UACAGAGGUCCCGAGCGUUGUUCGGAUUCACUGGGCGUAAAGGGUGCGUAGGCGGCGCGGUAAGUCGGGUGUGAAAUCUCGGGGCUUAACUCCGAAACUGCAUUCGAUACUGCCGUGCUUGAGGACUGGAGAGGAGACUGGAAUUUACGGUGUAGCAGUGAAAUGCGUAGAUAUCGUAAGGAAGACCAGUGGCGAAGGCGGGUCUCUGGACAGUUCCUGACGCUGAGACACGAAGGCCAGGGGAGCAAACGGG